CGAACGUGGGUAACCUGCCUUAUAGUGGGGGAUAGCCUUUCGAAAGGAAGAUUAAUACCGCAUAAGAUUGUAGUAUCGCAUGAUAUAGCAAUUAAAGGAGCAAUCCGCUAUAAGAUGGACCCGCGUCGCAUUAGCUAGUUGGUGAGGUGAUGGCUCACCAAGGCGACGAUGCGUAGCCGACCUGAGAGGGUGAUCGGCCACAUUGGGACUGAGACACGGCCCAGACUCCUACGGGAGGCAGCAUG
rnacentral:rRNA from 1 species